ensembl:snRNA U6 U6 spliceosomal RNA
GUGCUCGCUUCAGCAGCACAUGUACUGGAAUUGGAAUGAUGCAGAAAAGAUUAGCAUGGUCCCUGCACAAGGAUAAUGCACAAAUCCGUGAAGUGAAGUGUUCCAUA